rnacentral:rRNA from 1 species
UUGACCUCGGAUCAGGUAGGGAUACCCGCUGAACUUAAGCAUAUCAAUAAGCGGAGGAAAAGAAACCAACAGGGAUUGCCUCAGUAACGGCGAGUGAAGCGGCAACAGCUCAAAUUUGAAAUCUGGCCCUUUCAGGGUCCGAGUUGUAAUUUGCAGAGGAUGCUUCGGGUACGGCCGCGGCGUAAGUCCCCUGGAACGGGGUGUCAUAGAGGGUGAGAAUCCCGUCUUCCGUCGCCGGUUCCGUGCCCGUGUGAAGCUCCUUCGACGAGUCGAGUUGUUUGGGAAUGCAGCUCUAAAUGGGUGGUAAAUUUCAUCUAAAGCUAAAUACUGGCUGGAGACCGAUAGCGCACAAGUAGAGUGAUCGAAAGGUUAAAAGCACCUUGAAAAGGGAGUUAAAUAGCACGUGAAAUUGUUGAAAGGGAAGCGCUUGCAACCAGACUCGGCCACAGGGGCUCAACGGGUGCGUGUCACCCGUGCGCUCCCCUGUAGUCGGGCCAGCAUCAGUUUUGGCGGCCGGUCAAAGGCCCCUGGAAGGUGUCGUCUCUCGGGACGUCUUAUAGCCAGGGGUGCAAUGCGGCCUGCCGGGACUGAGGAACGCGCUUCGGCACGGAUGCUGGCAUAA